GCUAGCCCCAGGCCUCUGAGCAUGGGCCACCAGGUGGGGUCCCACCCCUCAGGUGCUUUCUUUCUGCUGGAAUCGCUGAAUUCAUAGAAUAAACUGGGAACUGCUGUUACCUGCCAUUUACUUUAUUCGUUGAGAACACCUGUGACACAGCCCAGAGCAGAGGUGGAAAACAGGAAAAAGGAUGUGGACUAGAGAACAUCAUGCGAGGCCCCAGAUCCAGCUGCGUCUGAAGCCAGCAUCACUUCUGGAACUUUCCGAGUGACCUCCAUGGAGGUAUCACGCUGGUGCUUUCCUCGUCUGAUCUUGUAGGCGCCCCGGCAGCCACUGGAAGAUACUGCUAUUCCCGCUAUAAAGAAAGGGGGAGCUGAGAUGCAAAAAUGGUGGGCACUUUGCCCGAAGUCACACAG